rnacentral:rRNA from 1 species
UACGGAGGGUGCGAGCGUUGUUCGGAAUCACUGGGCGUAAAGCGCGUGUAGGCGGCCCAUUAAGUCUGAUGUGAAAGCCCGGGGCUCACCCCCGGAAGUGCAUUGGAAACUGAUGGACUCGAGUCCCGGAGAGGAGAGUGGAAUUCCUGGUGUAGCGGUGAAAUGCGUAGAUAUCUGGAGGAACACCGGUGGCGAAGGCGGCGA